CAUGCAUCCACUACCCUCUCAGUAAAGUAAUACUUCCGGAUAUUAUUUUUAAACUUUUGCCCCUCUAAUUUAAGACUAUGUCCUCUUGUUGUGGUAGUUUUUCUUUUUUUAAAUAUAGUCUCCUCCUUUACUGUGUUGAUUCCCUUUAUGUAUUUAAAUGUUUCUGUCAUAUCCCCCCCGUCUUGUCUUUCCUCCAAGCAAUACAUGUUAAGCGCCUUUAACCUUUCCUUGUAAGUUUUAUCCUGCAAUCCA